GCUCAGUUGGUAGAGUGCAUGCCUCACAUGCAUGAAGUCCUGGGUUUGAUUCCCAG
rnacentral:tRNA from 1 species